CCGGGGGGCGGCGGCGGCGUUGGCGGCGCGGCGGCCUCAGGAAGGGGACGGAGAGCCGCGGCCCGCAGAACGGCGCGAAAGCGCCCGUCCCGGGACUCGCGCCGCGGGCCGCAGGCGCGGCGGGCGCGCGCGGUGCGGUGAGAGCGCGGCGGAGAGCGCGGCCGCCCGGCCCCGGCGGCGCAGCCCCGAGAGGGCCCGGCGCGGCCCGCGCUGGCGUAGGAGGCGGGGGCGCGCGGGGCGCCGGCCGGGUUGUGUCACUUUUCCCGUCCACCCCACUGUUGACUCGUCCUCCCAGCGGGGCAGAGAGUUGGCGCGCUGUGCCAGACUUGCAGGGUUUUCCAAGCUAAAGGUGACAUUUCAUCGUCUCCCAACAUUGUACCUGAUGAUUUGGUGUUUGCAAAGCUGAGCACCGAAUUUCAUGUGUGUGCACUACAAAUUGGAUCUGCAGGUCCAGCCACGUCAGACCCCAUCAGCCACUCUUGUUCUCUGGACUUGCCUAAACCAUUCCAGGAAUUACCGGAUACCUGAUUGCAUGCAGCUGUGGAAUACUGUCUUCAUCCUCUUUUCAUGGAAAUCCUGUGAGUCCUUCAAAACCCAGCAAGCAAGGCCACUCAUCUUCCCUCACUCCCCUGGCGGAAGCAGAGCUCCCUCUUUAGAAGACUUGGUCAUUUGCACAAACCUCCAUUCCAGGACGUGUAAUGGAAUGACAUGUGGUUGUCUGUCUUCUCCCACUGGGCUCUGAACCCUCAUCAUGAUUAACAGGCACAGUUUCUUCAUCGUUGUCAAUGGUACACUGUUUGCACUGGAUCAGCAUCUGGUGACUGAGUUGCAGGCUGUUAAAAGUAAUGCUGUAGAAGAAUUUAGGACACGGAUUCUGUGGCAUCCAGUUGGAAAUGU
rnacentral:lncRNA from 1 species